GCACAAUGAAAACCCCCGCUGCUUCUUUCAAGCACUAAGACACAACUAUGCCUGCUUAUCUGGGGUUCACAGCUUCCAAAAUACAUUGAGGUCAUGGGAAUUCACAUGCUUGGAGAAAUCAGCUUCCAUGGAAAUGCAAGUGUCUUCCAGGAUCCCCCAUCUCCGCUUGCUCUGGGAGACCUCCCAUGGCGUUGCCACAAGAAAAGGUGAUGGCGGCAUUCGCUGGGUGUUGUGAAGACACAAGCUCACAAGGAGAACUCCAAGCAGGGAGGACGUGACUAACGCUGUGGGGCCUUGCAGGAACAUUUAACGAACACAGCAACUACUGGAGGAAAAGAACAACCCUGAUAUCUGGUGACAGACAACCACAGGUUUCGGUUGGCUUUAACAUGUGUACCGGCGGGGCUGCAGAGUCCUAUUAGGAGAAGGCCUUGAUCCGUACAGAGCACGCUCACUGCUUCCCACCGCUCUGAGGACACAGCCUAUAAACUUGGCAUCAGAACAGGGACCUUUAAGGAGUUUUUAAAAGCCAUGACGUCCUUUGCUGAAAUAAACACUGACAUCCUCAACAUAAA